ACCUGGGUGGCUCAGUCGGUUAAGCGUCUGACUUCAGCUCAGGUCAUGAUCUCACGGUUUGUGAGUUCAAGUCCCACGUCAGGCU
rnacentral:tRNA from 1 species